rnacentral:lncRNA from 1 species
GUUGACUGUUUUUUUUAGUGCCAUUCUGUGCUUGAAUGUUUUCUGACAAGCACUCCUAUGUAGGAUUUUUUAGUGCCAUUUGCUUGAAUGUUUUCUGACAAUUACUCAUGUUCAGGAUUCUAUAGAGAUUUAUCGAUACAUACUCGCAAGUUAAUGGAAAAUGAAAUACUUUUCUGGCUUUCUCUUGCAGGAAAUGAGAGAAGGUAGGAAAUGUAUAGCAACUUCCAUUUGCUGUCAGCACGCACCUUGAUUUAUUGGACACAUGAUUCAUCCAAUCUGGGUAUCACGUUGAUCUUUGGUUAAACUUGCAUGUGCUUCCGUUCCUUGAUUUUGGAUGGAGGGUUUGCGGCAUUUCAUUUAUUGAUGCCAAUUUGUAUUUGCAGGACUUUUCAAGAGGUGGGCAGUUGUUAAUAUAACCUAUUUUCAAUUUUAAUUUCUUCAACCUUGAUCUGGAAGGUAUUUUCUUUAAUAAUGUAGUAAAAAAUGAUGGAAUGCCAUGUUAGAAUUGCUUGGAUUACUUCUAAGUUCGAUUUAGAUUAGUCAUGUGCAAGGGUACAAAUUGGAUUAUUCGUAGGUCAUGUUUAUAUCAUAUAUGUGUCCAUAACUCCUGAAAAUACAGGCCUACGAGGCAUUAGAAUAAGCUCUUGCUUCCUUUCGACCAGCCAUUCGCAUCCAAAAGAACCCAACCAGGUCCCUCACCCUGUACUAAAAAAAAGGUUAAAAUGCUUUGAUCAUUAAUUUAAACCUAGCACCAACUGACAUAGAAGAUAUGUCUUCGUCCAAUUUUAUAUUGAUUCAAACUCUUUUUUUUUUGCUUAGGCCACCAACAGGAAUUCUUCUGCCACUUUAAAGCCAGGACUCGGCAGCCACAAACAUGAGUGCUAACUUUCAGGGAAGGAUGCUGUACUUGAGCAUUUU